GCACAUCUGAGAUAGCUCAGUUGGUAGUGCAUGAGACUCUUACUCUCGAGGUUGUGGGUUCAAGCUCUACGUUGGGCA